UGAGUAACCUGCCCUUAACUCUGGGAUAAGCCUGGGAAACUGGGUCUAAUACCGGAUAUGACUCCUCAUCGCAUGGUGGGGGGUGGAAAGCUUUAUUGUGGUUUUGGAUGGACUCGCGGCCUAUCAGCUUGUUGGUUGGGGUAAUGGCCCACCAAGGCGACGACGGGUAGCCGGCCUGAGAGGGUGACCGGCCACACUGGGACUGAGACACGGCCCAGACUCCUACGGGAGGCAG
rnacentral:rRNA from 1 species